rfam:Hordeum vulgare subsp. vulgare, WGS project CAJW01000000 data, contig: morex_contig_137660
AUACUACUCCCUCCGUCCGGAAAUACGUUCGUAGGAAUGGACGUAUCUAGAUGUAUUUUAAUUCUAGAAUACAUCCAUUUAUAUCCAUUUUUGUAACAAAUAAUUUCGGACGAAGGGAGUAUGAU